UCCAGUAUAAAUUCCGUUCAAUUACUAUUCAAUGGAGCUCAACAACACCGGAUGUGGGCGGAGAACACUACGGAUGGCGGGCAGAGCUCACCUAUACUGCUUAGGGUGCUGUUGCGAAGAUUGACGAUCUUGAGCGAAGUGCGGUGUGUGUCCUCGAAGAGGCGGAUGACGCUGUCGUCCAGCGGGCGAUUGAAUCGCUGAUAGUUCUCGAGGAAGCCGUCGCAGAUCUCGUUGGGCAGCACAAUGCCCGGAUUGAGGCCGCGCUGGCCAUCUGGCCGGUGGCUGCUAAUGAUGUCCAGAUUGUUGCACAGCUUCUGGUAGGCGAUCUCCUUGAGGGUCAGCGGCUCCUCGUCCAGCGAGCCGUCCUCCAUCAGCCGCACCUUGCAGCUCAUCUUGGGGCCGCAGUUCUUGUGCUCCGCCAGUGGGGCCUCAAUAAUGGCCCUGUUGUCUAAAACGAAACGAGGCGAUGGGAGGUAUGAUUAAACAAAAUUUCAAUAAGCGUGAAACUAGUUUUUGGGUAUGUGGUCAUCAUUUCAUCAUUUUGUGAAAUAUUGAAAUUACUGUUCUUUGAAAUAAAAAAAGUGUUGAAACAGAAUUCAGAAACGAUAUCGGAGAAUAUAC
ensembl:ncRNA asRNA:CR45812 antisense RNA:CR45812